CUUUACUUAGCAUUUUACAUUUAUGGCACCUAUUUUACGUUACAGGUUCCCUAGUGACCCUGACCUGAGGCAAGCUUGGUUAUCUAAAAUACCAUUAAAAUCAAAUUAUUAUAAAUCUGCCAGAAUUUGUAGCCUACACUUUCGAUCUGAACUUGAAGACUAUGAUGUCAAUAGACCUGACCGCUUAUUGAAAUCUGCUAUACCAAAGAUUUGUGGGUGUUGCGAAACAUUGGAAUGUCUUAAUAUUCCUUCAAGCUCACAAGAAACUCCUUGCGCUAAAGCGUCAGCAAUGCCGAUACUUGAAAAAUAUCUCGAUGAAAAUGAACCACCUAAAAAGAAACAAAUUGUGGAAGUGCAAGAAGCUAUCGUUUUACCUGUUUGUUCAUUAUUUAAAAAUAACAGAAAUAUAUUAAAACCAAUGUUAAAAAGGUUUAAAAUCAGAUGAUCAGAGAGAUAUAAAAUGGAAUUUGUCAGUAAUUUAUGUAAGUCAAAUUGUGAUAAUUACCAUGUAUUAAUGUAUCUAAGAAUGAGAUGUUUAUUUUGUAAUAACUAUUUAAGAAUCUUGACGUUCAUAAGUGUUACCGUGUGAC